UGGAGUACAUCUGAUUCCCACACUAAUGUGAGUUAUGGGAUCUUAUGUACUUUUAUA
rnacentral:pre_miRNA from 1 species